AUUGAACGCUGGCGGCAGGCCUAACACAUGCAAGUCGAACGAGUGGCGGACGGGUGAGUAAUGUCUGGGAAACUGCCUGAUGGAGGGGGAUAACUACUGGAAACGGUAGCUAAUACCGCAUACCAUCAGAUGUGCCCAGAUGGGAUUAGCUUGUUGGUGGGGUAACGGCUCACCAAGGCGACGAUCCCUAGCUGGUCUGAGAGGAUGACCAGCCACACUGGAACUGAGGAUCGGUCCCGACUCCGAAGGGGGGGAGCAGUGGGGAAGAUUUCACAAGGGGGGCAAGCCUGGUGCAGCCAAGCCGCGGUGAUGAAGAAGGCCCUCGGGUUGUAAAGUUCUUUCAGCGGGGAGGCGUUACCCGCAGAAGAAGCACCGGCUAACUCCGUGCCAGCCGCCGCGGUAAUUC
rnacentral:rRNA from 1 species